rnacentral:rRNA from 1 species
GUAGGUGGCAAGCGUUGUCCGGAAUUAUUGGGCGUAAAGCGCGCGCAGGCGGUCCUUUAAGUCUGAUGUGAAAGCCCACGGCUCAACCGUGGAGGGUCAUUGGAAACUGGGGGACUUGAGUACAGAAGAGGAAAGCGGAAUUCCAAGUGUAGCGGUGAAAUGCGUAGAGAUUCGGAGGAACACCAGUGGCGAAGGCGGCUUUCUGGUCUGUAACUGACGCUGAGGCGCGAAAGCGUGGGGAGCAAACAGGGAUUAGAUACCCUGGUAGUCCACGCCGUAAACGAUGAGUGCUAAGUGUUAGGGGGUUUCCCGCCCCUUAGUGCUGCAGCUAACGCAUUAAGCACUCCGCCUGGGGAGUACGGCCGCAAGGCUG